rnacentral:lncRNA from 1 species
CUCUUGCCAACCAAGAGCUACUCCCGGCAAAACGGACUCCCAGCUAAAGCCUCGCCAACUGCGGGAGGCCGAGAUAAAACCACCUUUCCUACUGACCUACGGACCUCGCGAACCCAACUAGAAUUCCCCCGCCCACCGACAAGCAACAGAACCCACUAUUCAGGUGCCUCUACUCACGGCCGAACCAACCCAACCACCCGCGCAGUGCCCGCGCGCUUCACUUACUUGCAUGGAUGCCGUUGGCCCGCAAUGUCGAUCUGCGCGUCGCCGUUGUUGUUGUCUUCUCAUAUAUAAGAGACGGCGUUCUAUUGUAGGCAAAACCAAAGAUAAAGGCAAUCUAACAUCACUCGUCAAGCGAUUUCGACCUCGACUUUUUCUAGUCUUUCUCGUCGUCUAUUUUCUGUAAUUCGUCUUAAUAAAGCUUAGUUGGUACCUGUUGUCUGACUCUGCAUUCUGUGCUGGAAUGGCCAAAACUCGGACUGUCUCGUCCUGGUGUGAUAUCCGUGGUUGGCAUAGGGCCCUCCGUACUUCUGUAUUUGGCAAUCCAGGGGGUGGGUACCUGUCACGACAUUUUAGCGUCACGUUCAUUUUACCGUCUUUUAUAAUCGUCUUAGGUUAUAAUCGGUGUGAAUACGCGAAUUUCGUGUAUAAUCGCGUAAGGUGUUUGGUUCUUAACUUACACUUCGCUGAUCGACUUAUGGACGAGACGAGAAUGUACGCUCGUUUGCGUAUCUUUAUAUAUUUUACUUGUGAAUUGUUUAUUUCUGGUGUGAAUGUUCUGUCACACGGUUGUAAGGU